rnacentral:rRNA from 1 species
AGUUUUUGGAAAAAAACCCCGGCUAAUUCCGUGCCAGCAGCCGGGAUAAUACGAAGGGGGUAAGCGUUGUCGGAAUUACUGGGCGUAAAGCUCGCGUAGGCGGAUUGGAAAGUUGGGGGUGAAUCCCGGGGCUCAACCCCGGAACUGCCUCCAAAACUCCCAGUCUUGAGUUCGAGAGAGGUGAGUGGAAUUCCGAGUGUAGAGGUGAAAUUCGUAGAUAUUCGGAGGAACACCAGUGGCGAAGUCGGCUCACUGGCUCGAUACUGACGCUGAGGUGCGAAAGUGUGGGGAGCAAACAGGAUUAGAUACCGUGGUAGUCCACACCGUAAACGAUGAAUGCCAGUCGUCAGCUAGUAUGCUUGUUGGUGACACACAUAUCGGAUUAAGCAUUCCGACUGGGGAGUACGGUCGCAAGAUUAAAACUCAAAGGAAUCGACUGGGGCCCGCACAAGCGGUGGAGCAUGUGGUUUAAUUCGAAGCAACGCGCAGAACCUUACCAACCCUUGACAUUUGUCGCCACCUCCAGAGAUGGAGUUUUCCCUUCGGGGACGGCAGGACAGGUGCUGCAUGGCUGUCGUCAGCUCGUGUCGUGAGAUGUUCGGUUAAGUCCGGCAACGAGCGCAACCCACAUCCUUAGUUGCCAGCAGUUCGAUUGGGCACUCUAGGGAAAUUGCCCGUGAUAAGCGGGAGGAAGGUGUGGAUGACGUCAAGUCCUCAUGGCCCUCACGGGUUGGGAUACACACGUGCUACAAUGGCAUCUACAGUGGGUUAAUCCCCAAAAGAUGUCUCAGUUCGGAUUGUCGUCUGCAACUCGACGGCAUGAAGUCGGAAUCGCUAGUAAUCGCGUAACAGCAUGACGCGGUGAAUACGUUCCCGGGCCUUGUACACACCGCCCGUCACACCAUGGGAGUUGGGUUUACCCGAAGGCCGUGCGCUAACUUUUGAGGCAGCGGACCACGGUGAGCUCAGCGAGCGGGGUGAAGUCGUCACAAGGUAGCUGU